UACGUAGGGGGCAAGCGUUGUCCGGAAUCAUUGGGCGUAAAGCGCGUCGUAGGCGGCCUCGGUAAGUCCGCUCUGAAAGUCCAGGGCUCAACCCUGGGAUGCGGGUGGAUACUGCCGGGCUCGAGUCCGGAAGAGGCGAGUGGAAUUCCCGGUGUAGCGGUGAAAUGCGCAGGAUAUCGGGAGGAACACCAAUGGCGAAGGCAGCUCGCUGGGACGUGA
rnacentral:rRNA from 1 species